UACAUGGGGUGCAAACGUUGCUCGGAAUUAUUGGGCGUAAAGCGCACGUAGGCGGUUCGUUAAGUCGGAUGUGAAAGCCCUCGGCUCAACUGAGGAAGUGCACCCGAAACUGGCGAGCUUGAGUACGAAAGAGGAUCGCGGAAUUCCCGGUGUAGAGGUGAAAUUCGUAGAUAUCGGGAGGAACACCGGUGGUGUAGACGGCUCUCGUGGACCGUAACUGAACGCUGAGACA
rnacentral:rRNA from 1 species